CACUUCAGUAUCUGCAUCAGUGACCACAUCUGAAGGGUUGUAGUUCUCCUUGGAAGCCAAUGCCAUCUCAUCACAUACUCGACUUUUGUUUAUCUGUUCUGUCAGUUUCUGCUCAUUUUCUGAUUUAACUGAUGCAACAGUAGGUGCUGGACUUGUCACAUGUUGAGGUGCUGGACUUGUCACAUGUUGAGAGAGCUCUCUGUAGUUUCCACAGAGUGUAAAUAUGUUGCGGAUCCUGACAAGCCUAUCAUCUGGUCCCCCCUUGCAAUCAUCUUCCCCUGGA
rnacentral:lncRNA from 1 species